rnacentral:ncRNA from 1 species
UGGGACAGCAAGGGAGAGGGAAACAAUCAACAACAGUGCUGAUAACAGAUAUUCACAAUGGGUGAUAACAGAGAACAAUUUACUGAUCUGACGACCGACCAACGAAUUUCUGACAGGAUAAAGUGGCUCAUCAUCUAUCGAAUCGAGCAUUAUUUACAUCAGUGGACAUUAUACACAUGUUUGUAAGUAAGUCAAGUGCGGUCUAUUGUAAGAUCUUGAAAUUGUAAUAUAUUUGUACUGUGUAUUGUAAUGACUAUUAUUUAAUAAACUGUGAAUAGAGUGUUGAGGGCCAUCAUCUGGGGUGGAACUAACCCACUCACGACGGUUAGGGAGGGAUUUUUUCUAGUAUGUAGGGACGAUAUGGGACUCAAAAUCAUGACGCGUCUUCUCUCUUAGCGAGAGAUCUAAAUUACCAGAUUUGACCAACGUGGACGGGCCACCUAUACUUAACCUGGAAAAGGAACAUGUAUAAUUUUAUAUAUGUUCGAUAAAUAGCCAAAUGCUUCGUCAUCUAAUUAGUGACGCGCAAGAAUAGAUGAACAAGAUUCCCACUGUCCCUACCUGCUAUCCAGCGAAACCACAGCCAAGGGAAUGGGCUUGGCGGAACCAGCGGGGAAGGAAGACCC